rnacentral:rRNA from 1 species
UACGGAGGGGGCUAGCGUUGUUCGGAAUUACUGGGCGUAAAGCGCACGUAGGCGGCUUUGUAAGUUAGAGGUGAAAGCCCGGGGCUCAACUCCGGAAUUGCCUUUAAGACUGCAUCGCUAGAACGUCGGAGAGGUAAGUGGAAUUCCGAGUGUAGAGGUGAAAUUCGUAGAUAUUCGGAAGAACACCAGUGGCGAAGGCGGCUCACUGGCCCGGUACUGACGCUGAGGUGCGAAAGCGUGGGGAGCAAACAGG